rnacentral:rRNA from 1 species
UCCGUAGGUGAACCUGCGGAGGGAUCAUUACACAAAUAUGAAGGCGGGCUGGAACCUCUCGGGGUUACAGCCUUGCUGAAUUAUUCACCCUUGUCUUUUGCGUACUUCUUGUUUCCUUGGUGGGUUCGCCCACCACUAGGACAAACAUAAACCUUUUGUAAUUGCAAUCAGCGUCAGUAACAAAUUAAUAAUUUACAACUUUCAACAACGGAUCUCUUGGUUCUGGCAUCGAUGAAGAACGCAGCGAAAUGCGAUAAGUAGUGUGAAUUGCAGAAUUCAGUGAAUCAUCGAAUCUUUGAACGCACAUUGCGCCCUUUGGUAUUCCAAAGGGCAUGCCUGUUCGAGCGUCAUUUGUACCCUCAAGCUUUGCUUGGUGUUGGGCGUCUUGUCUCUAGCUUUGCUGGAGACUCGCCUUAAAGUAAUUGGCAGCCGGCCUACUGGUUUCGGAGCGCAGCACAAGUCGCACUCUCUAUCAGCAAAGGUCUAGCAUCCAUUAAGCCUUUUUUUCAACUUUUGACCUCGGAUCAGGUAGGGAUACCCGCUGAACUUAAGCAUAUCAAUAAGCGGAGG